UUUAAUAAUGUCUUCCAAGCCCUGACUCUUAAGCUACAAGUUGAACUAAGAAUCUUAAGGAGAGCAGAGGGCUCUAGGGUACAGAGUGCUCCAAAUGAGUCUGUGAAGUAUUAACCAUCUGGAAAUCCAAGCCAUGCUGAAGGCAGCUAUUUUAUGAUCUUGGUGGGCUGCUCUUAUGGCAGAGGAAUGCUGCUUGCUCAACAGAUUCAACAUCUGUGGAGAGGCAAAGGCAGCAAAAGAAGACAUCUUGAUACCGAAACUGCAGUGCUGAACCCACAGAGGUAUGGAUGAAAGAGAGUUGGAAGACAACAUGCCGGCCAAGAGAACAGGAGUAGAUUUACAGAAGAAUUAGCAAAAAAUUCCAGGAGGGGAACCUGGGUAAGUCACUUAAGCCCUCUGAACCUGUGUCUUCAUCUGAACAACAAGGAAAAUAACACUUGUCUUCUAUGGCUGGGUGAGGAUGAACAGAGAUCUCUCAUCAGACACACUCAGAAAUCUCUCAAGUCUUCCCAAGUCCCCUGCACCCACGUGCUAGGAGAAU